AACACACAUGCCCCUUCCCAGUCCUGUGGUAACUCCGAAUAGGCCUUCUUACCACAGAUCCAGUACAAAUUCGCUGGGGCUCUCCAGUUAGAUGUGAUAGAUAGAUCAAACCAUACGUCCUUUAAAUUGGCAUAUCUUGCAAACGGGUUAGAUGGUUCUGAGACAUUUGAAGCCGACCACCAAGUUGUAUUCUUUGUAUCAUCAUCAUAAGCUUUUUGCCCUAGACAAGUUAAUUCUCCUACAGAAGUAUUAUACAUCAUUCCUUUCCUUGCUAUGCAAACAUAACCUAUGAUGGAGGUCUUCAAUCUCCACUCAGAUUUACCUCUAACACUCAUAUGAUAGUCGGCUUGUAUAGAUAUUAAUUGGUCAACUGCCUCAGAACCGGACAUUACCUCCUUUGCUUCCCAAGGCCAUUGGUCUCCC